UUAUAAUAGUAAUAAUGACAAUAGUCAUGAUAUCUGCAUUCUGCUCUCACUGUUGUGUUGAAGAUCUAUGUAGCAGCACUGAACAAUUGCAAUGUCAGUUCAAAUCAGCAGAUACUGAGAGGGUGGAGUUACAGGAUCGUUUGAGUGAGCUCUAAUCAUCAAUGUCGAGUCUCUAAACUAGCAAGAGGAAAGCCAAGCAGCAGCUGUCUUUUCUACAGGAGGAGCAUGAGAAACUGGAGACUGAGAGUCAUAAGAAUGCAAGAAACUUUGCAAGGUAAUGGAACAAGUUUCCCAUCUCCAAACUGAAAGCAUGCCACAAAAGUGAACUGAAUGUUGCACAGAAAGCUAAGUCUUCACUUGAGAGUCAGUUGGAGGAAAUGACUACUAAACUUGAAGAGGAAAUGUCUAUGGCUGCUAAAGCAGCUGAGAGAGAGGCAGCCAAACUCCAGCAGAGGGUAAGAGAACGUUUAUUAU